rnacentral:misc_RNA from 1 species
AAGAACUGUGCUCUAUACUCGGGGACGAUUCUGUGUUACUGUCCAAGUCAGACAGCUCCACAGACCUCCAGCUCCUGGAGCAGGAGAGUUCUUGAUAAUAAUUUGUUUUUUUUUAACUUUUAACAAAUAUGAACAAGACUGCACUUUUUUUUCUAACUUUUAAGUAGAUAGAAAUUUUUAAAAUUCUAUGCCCUUAGAUUAAGCUUGUGAUUGUUAAUUAUCUUUGUAUUUAAUUAUGGUUAAUUAAUAAUUCUGAUUAUCUAAUUACAAAUUUCAUUAUGUACAUGUAUCAGUUUAAGUUAUUCCCAAAACAUUUAGACCUUGUACGGGUACAGUUCGAGAUCAUCAAAUGUCAAAAAUCAAAUUCUGCAUGUAUAUUGAUGAUUUUUUCCCUCCCCAUUGCAUGUAAAACGAAAUAUAUGACUGUCAUUAUCAACAGUUUAUAACCCUGCAGAUACUUUUCAUCUGCUAAGUACUGUAGUUUCCUUAUUUUACGUGAGUAAUUAAUUCCGCGAUUCAACGGUUUAGCAUCAAAUCACAAGAAUUUAAAAUCGCGAAUGCCGAAUUUUUAUCACAAUUCCAAAUAGUUUACAUCUGUACAAAAAUUAAAGCAAGAUUUUAAAAUCUGCAAGAUGUGCUUAUUGCUAUUUUACCCGGAUAUUAAUUUCUCGCGUUUAAUUAGGAAUUUACAGUAAAACGUCUAGACAUUUGAUUUAAUUAUUGUCCAUAUAAUGUACUCUAGUUGUGGCUUGCUUAAGGGUUAUCAUUUAUGUGAUCUAUUGCUAAUAUAAGUACCAAAAGCCAGUUCAUUGUAAUGCAUUGUAAUUACUUUACAUUUUGAUUUAUUUUUAUUUUUAGAUUUUACAGUAUUACAUGAUUUAUUAUGUAUUUUGACUCUGAAGCUUUGAGCUCCUUUGAAAGGUUGACAAUCCGGUACCCAAGUAGGUUAAAAUUGUUUGUCCAAGUACAAUAACCAAUUGUUUGCAUAUCAGCUACAUGUUAUGACUUUGACUUGCUAUGAUUUAAAAAUUAAAAUUGUAAUUAGUAAG